rnacentral:rRNA from 1 species
AUACGUAGGUGACAAGCGUUAUCCGGAUUUACUGGGCGUAAAGGGCGUGUAGGCGGAGAUGCAAGUCAGGAGUGAAAUCUAGGGGCUCAACCCCUAAACUGCUUUUGAAACUGUAUCCCUUGAGUAUCGGAGAGGCAGGCGGAAUUCCUAGUGUAGCGGUGAAAUGCGUAGAUAUUUGGAGGAAAACCAGUGGCGAAGGCGGCCUGCUGGACGACAACUGACGCUGAGGCGCGAAAGCGUGGGGAGCAAACAGGAUUAGAUACCCUGGUAGGCCACGCUGUAAACGAUGAAUGCUAGGUGUGGGGGGACUGACCCCCUCCGUGCCGCAGUUAACACAAUAAGUAUUCCACCUGGGGAGUACGAUCGCAAGAUUGAAACUCAAAUGAAUUGGCGGGG